GGAUAGUCUUGCUAUCAUGGGCUUGGUCUUUGGCACUUUAGGAACAAUAGCCAGCUCUAUACUAGUAUCAGAUGUGCUAUGAUAGCCUUCAAGAUCAUCUUUGGUUAUGACAACUGUGUCCCCAGAGGGAGAGUGUGGCAAAGGACAAGGUCUUUGCUUGUUGUAGUUUUGAACAGGGUCUUUGUGUUUGAGAACUGCAUCCCCAGAGGGGGAGCAUGGUAAAGGACAAGGUCUUUGCUUGUAAUAAUUUUGAACAGCCUGCUUAUAAUACAUGCAGAGAUUAUACAAAAACUUAAUGCCCAAGAGAGAAAUCAUUACCAUAAAAGUUUAACAAUUAUUAUAUGGUAUCACUGGCCUUCUAGAAAGUAAAAGGGCCAACAACAACAACAAAAGAACGGGGUUAUAC
rnacentral:lncRNA from 1 species